UACAAAGGAAUUGACGGGAGCCCGCACAAGCAGCGGAGCGUGUGGUUUAAUUCGAGGCAACGCGAAGAACUUACCUGGGUUUGACAUCGUGGUGGUAGGAAACUGAAAGGGGACCGACCCGCAAGGAGCCAUGACAGGUGCUGCAUGGCUGUCGUCAGCUCGUGCCGUGAGGUGUUCGGUUAAGUCCGCGAACGAGCGCAACCCCUGUUGCCAGUUACAAGUGUCUGGCGAGACUGCCGGUGACAAGCCGGAGGAAGGUGGGGAUGACGUCAAGUCAGCAUGGCCUUUAUAUCCAGGGCGACACACACGCACAAUGGACGGUACAGAGGGCAGCGAGACCGCGAGGUGGAGCGAAUCCCAGAAAGCCGUUCUCAGUUCGGAUUGCAGGCUGCAACUCGCCUGCAUGAAGUCGGAGUUGCUAGUAAUCGCGCGUCAGCCACAGUGCGGUGAAUACGUUCCCGGGCUUU
rnacentral:rRNA from 1 species